rnacentral:ncRNA from 1 species
UAGGUAGGAGCCUAAGAAACCGGAGCGCCAGCUUCGGUGGAGGCGUCGGUGGGAUACUACCCUGGCUGUGUUGAACUUCUAACCCGCGCCCCUUAUCGGGGUGGGAGACAGUGUCAGGUGGGCAGUUUGACUGGGGCGGUCGCCUCCUAAAGAGUAACGGAGGCGCCCAAAGGUUCCCUCAGAAUGGUUGGAAAUCAUUCGCAGAGUGUAAAGGCACAAGGGAGCUUGACUGCGAGACCUACAAGUCGAGCAGGGACGAAAGUCGGGCUUAGUGAUCCGGUGGUUCCGCAUGGAAGGGCCAUCGCUCAACGGAUAAAAGCUACCCCGGGGAUAACAGGCUUAUCUCCCCCAAGAGUCCACAUCGACGGGGAGGUUUGGCACCUCGAUGUCGGCUCAUCGCAUCCUGGGGCUGUAGUCGGUCCCAAGGGUUGGGCUGUUCGCCCAUUAAAGCGGUACGCGAGCUGGGUUCAGAACGUCGUGAGACAGUUCGGUCCCUAUCCGUCGUGGGCGCAGGAAAUUUGAGAGGAGCUGUCCUUAGUACGAGAGGACCGGGAUGGACGCACCGCUGGUGUACCAGUUGUCUUGCCAAAGGCAUCGCUGGGUAGCUAUGUGCGGAAGGGAUAAGUGCUGAAAGCAUCUAAGCAUGAAGCCCCCCUCGAGAUGAGAUUUCCCAUCACUUUAUGUGAGUAAGAUCCCUGAAAGAUGAUCAGGUAGAUAGGUCUGAGGUGGAAGCGUGGCGACACGUGCAGCUGACAGAUACUAAUCGAUCGAGGACUUAACCAC